UUUAUUAGAAAGAACCAGAACAACGAACAUAGGGGGCUAUGUGGAUUGCGAAACUGACGACAGAAAACGAUAGAAGAUUGGCUACUAUUUGGUUGGAAUGGCUUGCUCAGUUCGUUAGUGGGAAGGAAGAGUUAAACAAUAAGGUAUUUUUCUUGUAGUGGUAUAUAUUGUAUUAUUUUUAGAAAAAUAGUUAUUGUUACUUAUAAAUUUGUAAUGAUUAGACUAAUAAUUUAAGGCAAAACUAUUCGUCAAUGAUUGAAAACUUAAUUAGACGUAAGGAUUUCAAGAAUGAGAAAAGUUACGUAAUUUGCUAAGGAAAAAUCAAUUUUUGCUGCUACAGUUUUCGGUUGUUACUUUUAAUUAGGAGAAGUAAUGAUUUAAUCCAUGAUGAGUAAAUUUGGAUUAAAAAUAAGAGUUGAAUUUCAAGUGAGAAAUCAACAACGUAAAUAUGAAAUCUUUCGAAACUAUUCGAAGCAUCUAUACACAGUGUCAGUUCUCUAAUUUUCUGCAUACCGUAUGAUCACUCAUUUGUGACAAAAAUUUUGAUAUAUUUAGACUUGUAUGUAAAUAUAGAGUUAAAUUAAGAUAUUGAGAUUCUUUACCUUUUUAAAAAAACUAAGAUAUUUGAUAGGUGGAAUAUUAAGAUUCAACUCUACGCUUGAAAGUUUGGGAUAUUGAAAGUUGACCGACUAGUGUAAUUAUAAUUAUUAAUCAAUAUUUUAUUUAGAUUGAGAUCAUUAGAGGCCAUUUCGUUGGUGUUUUAGACGUUGCAAAGCCGGGGGACUUGUCGUAAGCGAGGUAAGUGAGAAUUUAAACUAUGAUACUUGCUUUUCUAAAACCCGUUUUGAAAGUGUGUUUUCUCUGUCUGGUCCAUGUGUUGGGACAAGCGUGCACUUGGCAGAAUCGGUAGUCUUUUGUGUAUGCUUCUUGAUAUAUUUGGGGCAUUGUGUAUGCUUCAGUGAGCAUUGUGUAUGAUCUGUUACAUAUUUGAGGCAUUGUGGUGCCGUUGUGGACUCGUAGGUGUGUUGGUAAAUUUCUUUCACUGCAACUAUGAUAAGUCCUUAGUGGGUACUCUUGUUGGUUAAUUCUUAUUAACUCUAUUGAUACACAUAUAUUGAGUUAUUGUAUAAUUAUCAUAUUUACUAUAUCAUUCGUAUUGUGGUGUGUUUGUAUUUUCUAACACUUGUUCCAGAGGUAUUUAAAGUGGCGGGUCGAGGAUCUUACUGGGUUAUAUUUACAUAUAACUCACUCCUUACCUGCAUCUCUAUGCAGAUACUGUCACGGGAGAUAGAUCUAGUGGCUGACGAGUUGGUUCGAGUGGAUCCUAUUGUUAAGGUGAGCCACCACAUUGUUCGUGGAGGCUUUCAUUUCAGACUUACCUAGCUCGUGUUAGUUAUUUCUUUUUUUUUUCUCGGGGUUUGCAUACCCGUCAAUAAAACUCAUGUUACUCUAUUAGAUGCUCCAUGGUCUUAGUGUGAGUUUUGGGCUAGAUUUUUAGUAUUUGAGUGAUUGUUGGUUUUCUAUCAAUUGACUAAGGUAUUGGGCGACAAUCAUUUCAUUUUAAUUAUUAAUAAUACCAUUAGGCCUGCAUUUUUUUCUCUCUCUCUUAGUGUUUGUGUAAAUGGUUAAACAUUAGAGAAAGGGGUUCGUCUGGCAUGUGGGGUUAGCUGGAUGUCAGUCACAUCUAGGCGGUAGUUUGGGACGUGACAGUUUUUCAGUUCUUAGGUAUGUAUGAUAGAGUCGUUGUAAUAGAAGUUUUUAUUUUAAUGAAAAUUUGAAAAAAAAA
rnacentral:lncRNA from 1 species